rnacentral:rRNA from 1 species
UUAGGAAUAUUCGUCAAUGGGGGAAACCCUGAACGAGCAAUGCCGCGUGAGUGAUGAAGGUCUUUGGAUUGUAAAACUCUGUUGUAUGGAAAGAAUGGCUAGAUUAGGAAAUGAAUCUAGUUUGACGGUACCAUACCAGAAAGCCCCGGCUAACUACGUGCCAGCAGCCGCGGUAAUACGUAGGGGGCGAGCGUUAUCCGGAUUUAUUGGGCGUAAAGCGUGUGUAGGCGGUUUGUUAAGUUUAAGAUUAAAGACCGAGGCUUAACCUCGGUAUGUCUUAAAGACUGGCAGGCUAGAGUGUGGUAGAGGCAAACGGAAUUUCUAGUGUAGCGGUGAAAUGCGUAGAUAUUAGAAGGAACACCAGUGGCGAAAGCGGUUUGCUGGGCCAUUACUGACGCUGAGGCACGAAAGCGUGGGGAGCAAAUAGG